GACGAACGCUGGCGGCGUGCUUAACACAUGCAAGUCGAACGGAAAGGCCCUGCUUUUGUGGGGUGCUCGAGUGGCGAACGGGUGAGUAACACGUGAGUAACCUGCCCUUGACUUUGGGAUAACUUCAGGAAACUGGGGCUAAUACCGGAUAGGAGCUCCUGCUGCAUGGUGGGGGUUGGAAAGUUUCGGCGGUUGGGGAUGGACUCGCGGCCUAUCAGCUUGUUGGUGGGGUAGUGGCUUACCAAGGCUUUGACGGGUAGCCGGCCUGAGAGGGUGACCGGCCACAUUGGGACUGAGAUACGGACCAGACUCCUACGGGAGGCAGCAGUGGGGAAUAUUGCACAAUGGGCGGAAGCCUGAUGCAGCAACGACGCGUGCGGGAUGACGGCCUUCGGGUUGUAAACCGCUUUCGCCUGUGACGAAGCGUGAGUGACGGUAAUGGGUAAAGAAGCACCGGCUAACUACGUG
rnacentral:rRNA from 1 species